rnacentral:siRNA from 1 species
GAUACAUUUGUUUGUGGUGGUGGA